GAUCCUGGCUCAGGAUGAACGCUAGCGACAGGCUUAACACAUGCAAGUCGAGGGGCAGCAUAAAAGUAGCAAUACUUGGUGGCGACCGGCGCACGGGUGAGUAACGCGUAUGCAACCUACCUAUCAGAGGGGAAUAACCCGGCGAAAGUCGGACUAAUACCGCAUAAAACAGGGGCACCGCAUGGUGAUAUUUGUUAAAGAAAUUCGCUGAUAGAUGGGCAUGCGUUCCAUUAGGUAGUUGGUGAGGUAACGGCUCACCAAGCCGACGAUGGAUAGGGGAACUGAGAGGUUGGUCCCCCACACUGGUACUGAGACACGGACCAGACUCCUACGGGAGGCAGCAGUGAGGAAUAUUGGUCAAUGGGCGGGAGCCUGAACCAGCCAAGUCGCGUGAAGGAAGAAGGAUCUAUGGUUCGUAAACUUCUUUUGCAGGGGAAUAAAGUGCAGGACGUGUCCUGUUUUGUAUGUACCCUGAGAAUAAGGAUCGGCUAACUCCGUGCCAGCCGCCGC
rnacentral:rRNA from 1 species